UACUGUUCGACGGCGGUAAAGUCGAACUAGACUUCCGGGAAAGCUGUUAGUACAGCUCAGGGAAGCUAGCGUCAAAAUUUUAUGAUUUUUUUCAUUAUGUAUUUGGCAACGAUACAGGUAAUCGAUGUCCACUGAUCCGUAAGUAUUUUAGCAAAUAUUUCUUUGUGGUGGAAGUUUGCCGUCGUGGUGAAGAGGGAUAAUGAGGAUAAAAUGCCUACUGCUCAAGUUAGCUUGCUGAAUUUAAGUUGUCGUUGACAAUAACUCAGCUGGAACGGUUAUUAGCUGAACUGUUAGCCACCUUUAUUUUAUUUUAAAGCAAAAUGAUGUGGAGCAAUGUGAAGUAUUUAGAAUGUCUGCUAAGUGGCUGUAAAUAUUUAUUUUUCCAUACGUAGGAUUUUUGGGUGUAAAUAUAAAAGCUAUUGUAGCUCAUUCGUUAAGCAGUGUGACGAAGCAUACAGAUUGUUAUCUGCCAAGUAACUGAGACCUCCUCUGAGUGAGUAAUAGAGAAUAGUGUACAUUAAAAGCUGAUUCAUUGAUUAAAUCAGCUGAAUUGGUAACGUCCAUCGGUACGAUGCUUAUGUUACUCAUUGCAAAGAUGCAGCAGUAUGAUGAACAGUGCGGCGAGCGGAAUAAUGCGCGUGCUGUGCGUCAGUGCGCUGCAGGAGAGCUGAACGGGGGAGUGGCCGCGUCUGAGUGCUGCGGGACGAGCUUGGACUCCUCACGAGGAAGAGUUGCACGUGGAGGGUGAGGGAUUUGAAGAUGUGGAGGACGAGAGGGACCCAACGGCCCAUCAUCUUGCAGCACCAUCAGGUAAUUCACCCACCCACCCACGCUGCAGCCCUGAGGCCUGUCCCCAGUACCUCCACCAAACAAAGCACUCCUCCCCAGUCUGCCACUGUUGCUCCACCUGGGACAGACCCUCAGUUCUUUCCAAUGGUCCACACCCCAUUUCUCUCUCGCCAGGUUUUAUUUUUUCCUAAAGGCCCAAGACUGCACUGGGUUUCAGACUGCACAGCCAAACACUGCACUGAAAACUCCAUCCUUUUUACGAGCCGCUUUCUUCUUCUGUGUCUGUCAGCGCAGUGUGUCACAGGGGCGGGGUGUUCUGGUGGGAGGAGUCCUGACAGCCUGCAGUGACGCAGAGUUGGAAUAUAUGGAGAAAAUGUAAAUGGCGUGCGCUGAUUUGUCACUGUGGCUGUUUGAAGUGUUCCUGCAGUGCUCUUAUAAGGCAGCAGUGAGUGUGAUUGGUGGGGGGGAAAGAGUGUGCUCUCUCAGAGGGGGGCCGGGCGUGUGCACAGGGCUCAGUCUCUCUCAGAGCUCAGAGGUGAAGGUGUGAGCAUCCACUCUGCUCUGAGGAAGGUUUGGUUUGUUUGCGCUGAAGAUGGGGAGAUGUCUGUUCUUUCUCUCUCUCUCCUCCCUGCUCCUGCUCUCCACAGUCAGUGAGUACCAGCUUUAUCCUCCUCUCCAGCUUCUCCACACCCAGUCGGGGCUCAGAAACUGGGGGUCGGGGUCGGGGCCAAGGGGUCAGAGGGGCAGCUCUCCAGCCAGGGCAGGGCUCCAGGCCGUCUCUAAACACCAGAGUUUACUGUAGUAAUAUUUCUCUGCAUCAUUCAUGAAGCUUUCAUGAAAGUAAUUUUAUUAUUAAUUAUUUAGGAAAUGUUUCUGUAUUUGAUUCACUGGUAUAUAAAACAUGAUAUUUGAAUAAUCCAGCCAGGAUAAAGUUUUUUGUUUGAUCAUGUUCAUGUUUUAGUAAAUAUAAAUAUAUGUGAAUAUAAAGAUUUUUUUCAAAUGUU